ensembl:lncRNA
UGCCUGUGUUGUACACAGCUGUCUUGCAGUUGAGCUAUCUGUGGAUUUAUUUAAUAAACCUUGUUUUAUUUUCAUCAUCGUCUUCAUCCUUUGGACUAAUCGUGACAGAAUACCAGACCCAAAAAAUGAGAAGAAGAACUAUGGACAUUGCUUCCAUGAAUGUUGCCCCGACGAGAGGUAAUAAGUUACUGGAAGGAGGAACAGUGUUUGUGUUCCAGCAAGGCAGAGACUUGGAGCUUUACGUGGAGGAGUUCCUCGACAUCUGCCAUCUUGCCACCUGUGACAACGUCUGUCUAAUGGAGGGAUUUUGGUGUGGACUGGACGAAGAUCUCCGCUUCGUCAUGCCCCGCGGUGCUCUCUGCUGGACCCUGGAGGCUUACAUCAAAUUCGCACUGUGGAAAUAUGGAUCCACGUUCGCAGUGGGCGGAGCAGAGGAUGAUAGCAGCCUCGUCCAGCCACACCGAACAGACGUCGCACAGCCAGACCCAGAGCAUAGCCCACCAUCACCUCUCACUAUGGAGAUGACAACGCCAGAGCCCCCCACAGACGGGGAGCUUCCGCCCGCUGCGAGAACGGAGCCUGUGACGGCAGCGCCCACUAACGCCCUGGAGCCGAAGCCCCUAUGUGAGUGUGUCCAGGGGUGUGAGCCGGCAACAGCCGUCCCUGCGGGAAAUAUGGUGGACAUUGAUUCUGGGGAGGACUGGCUCAUUAACUGGGACACGGAAAUACUGCUUCCCACCCUACCCCACCCUGAUAUCGCUACACUUUCUUCAUCGUCGCUGGUUCUAGCCAGCACAAAGACUGAUUCUUCACCCGAUAUGAACUGUGAAUUAUUAUCUGUGAUCCCAGACAACCUCACUCUCCUACCUCCACUACCGACCCCAGCCAGUCCUACAGCCCUUUCUCAGCUGGAUGCCUGCAGCCCUGUAUCUUCCCUUGUGAUGCCUUGCAGUGACGUAAAGCCUCAGGUCAUACAGUCACCAGCCUUGCCUGAGUCAGUGGAUUAUAUAGCUCAGCCUCCAGUCUCUGAUCCCUUCCCUCCACCUUGGCCCGUCGACAUGUCGGCUCCGCCUUGGCUCCUCCCUCUUUUGGCUCCACCAGAGACCCUCGGCCCCCUUGGCUCCUCCCUCCAUCGACUCCGCCGUGGGCUGUCAUCCUUGCUGCGCUCUGGGUCUGCAACACCUGGCCACUCCUCCCAUCAUCGACCCCAUGGUUGCUCCCACCAUCUGUGCCUCCAUGGAGUCUCUGCUUAUCUGCCUGCCUGUUCUCAACAGCCCUCUGCCUGCUCCUCCUCUCCAGCCCUUCUCCAGCUCCUCGCCCUCCUCCAAAGCCCCCACCAUCCCUCCCUUACCUCUUCAUUUACGGCACGAGGUCGUGCCUUCCAGGAGGGGGCAUUAUGUCACGAUUCUGUUUAGUUAGUUUCAUCAUCAUGGACUAUUAGUUUUGUUUUCAUGGAUUUGUCAUUGGGUUUCUUCGGUCACAUGUCUUCCUUUUGUUCAGUUUUCCCGCCACUCUUUAGCUGUCAUGGUAAUUAAUUGAAUCUACUCAGGUGUUCAUUGUUAUUGCCCUUAUUUGUCUUAGAUUUAAGUUGCUGCUGUUUAACCUUUCAUUUGUCUGGUAUUGCCUGUGUUGUACACAGCUGUCUUGCAGUUGAACUAUCUGUGGAUUUAUUUAAUAAACC